AUGAAGCCGUCCACUGGAGCCGGAUUCCUGUUCUUGUGGCUGCGGAUGGGCUGUGUCAGUGGAGGAGAGAAGAUAGAGCAGAGUCCUUCCCUGAGUGUCCAGCAGGGAAGCAAGGCUGUCAUCAACUGUACCUAUUCAAAAAGUGUCUCAGACUACUUCCCCUGGUAUAAGAAAGAACCCGGGAAAAGUCUCCAGCUGAUUAUAUACAUUCGUUCACCAAAGCCACAAGAACAAAAGGAACGAUACAAAGUUUUACUGAAUGAGAAUGAGAAACAUCUUUCCCUGCACAUUGACGACACCCAGCCCGGAGACUCAGCUGUCUACUUCUGUGCAGAGAGCACACAUUGCUUCCCAGGCACCUGCAGCCUGUGCUGA